GUCAAAAGAGCUCCAGAAACACUUGUAGUUCAGGAAAACAGCUUUAUUUGAUCGACGCGGUUUGGCUUGUGGCCUGGAUGACCCUGAUGAAGCUGUUUUCGUGAACACAAGUGUUGCUGGAGCUCUUUGAC